rnacentral:lncRNA from 1 species
GGCUCCCCAGAGCAAGCCGCCAACCACACUAACUGUUCUGGCUAGCUCUGAGUUCAACUGGGAGACCUUUCCUCCAUUAAUAAGAUGGAGAGUGAUCAAAGAAAACUUCAUAUAUACACACAUGCAUGUGCACCCACACAUGCACAAAGGCAUGCAAAAAAAAUGAAAACAUAGAAAUAGUCUUGCUUAAAUCAUAACCUACCUUUCCAAUAAUGUGAAAAAAGCCAGGCACUCAAGAGACAGACACAGGAGAUCUCUAUGACUUUAGGGCCAGCCUGGUCCAUAUGUUGUUGAGUUCCAGGCCAGCCAAGAGCUUCAUAAUAAGACCCUGCCUCAAAAAAAAAAAAAAAAAAAAAAAAAAAGCAGGUGAAAAGAUAGCCAUAAUAAUAAAAAGUAAAUUGGUUAGAAGCAUACGAGGAGCAUCGAGCUUUUGGGCUGUGCUUUUGCAAGGGAGAAAACAAAACUUCUUACCAGACAUGAUGGUGCACAUAUGUAAUUCCGUAAUCAAGGAGGAUAAAGCAGGAAGACCAGAAGUUCAGUCCAACCUGGGCUACACAGUAGGACUCUGUCUCUAGAGGAAAGGAACCUCUCAGGAAAGAAGGCUUGAGCCCCCCUCUAGGUGCAUGGGGAGCAGCCGUCCGCGUUCUUCAGGGUGGGGAAGUGAAGCCCUCUUCCCGCAGUGAAAUGCUCCCGUGUGACCAGAUCUCUUUCCCCACAGUGGUCUCUGCUCUCAACAAGGCCUGGUGUGUGAGCUGCUUUGCCUGCUCCACCUGCAAUACCAAACUCACACUCAAGUAAGUACUGGGUCCAGUCCAUUGUGAUUACCAAAGCUAAAAGAUUUAGAUGCCAUUUAGAAUGUAAAAGGGGAAGUGAUUGAUUCCUGUCUCUUUUUCUCUUGAGUCCUUCUGAAAGUACAUGUUCUUCUUUAAUUGUUCCUGUUCUGUCCUUUCUUUGUUCCACUCAAAGGGAUAAGUUUGUUGAAAUUGAUCUAAAGCCAGUCUGCAAAUACUGUUAUGAGAAAAUGCCAGAAGAGUUUAAGAGGCGACUUGCCAAACGGGAGAGAGAAGCAAAGGAUAAGGACAAGCAGAGAAAGAGAAAGCCAGUGUGUCUGUAAACGUUCUGUCCCUCCUACUCCAUUCUCAUUGCUUCUCUGUGGUUAGUCUCUUAGGAUGCCUUUCUUUUCUGUGUGUCUUUUUGUUGUUCUGUCUUUUUUUUUAAGCGUGGUUUUUUGGUUUUUUGUGGCCAUAGAGAUUGAAAUACUCGUCCUGUGUGAACUUGGUUCUUUUGUCUUUUACAAGUAUAAAGCUUAAUGAGACCCAUACUUACCAAGGGCUGUGUAAUAUGUACAUAUCUGCCGCAGCUCAGCUUUUCUGUCAGUGUGACCAAGAGACACCUUUUCUCUACAACCUUUAAAUAGUAGUGGGAACAGUUUUAAAGUAUUUUAUGGCAAUUAACUGCUGUGGUCUUUGGUUUCUUUACCUAAAAUUAUUUAACUGAGGAAGUGGAGUGUUGGGUGUUUUAGAACCACACGUGCUCGCAGCAUGUCUUCUGGCUGAGCAAAGCCACCUAGAUGGCAUAGCAACACUGUCCUCUGCAGUGCUCUGUAUGCUCACUCCCUGCCGCUUGUGAAGGCAUUUCCUUGAGUUUCCAGACUCUUACUCUUGUUUUGUAUGGGUAUGCUUCAGUCUUGGACGUUCUGUUGGAUCACUGACAUGAUUAGUUCAUGGUUUUCUUUAUGGUGGUUUGAACUUGAAAAGAAGGUUUGCUUCAUUUUCUUAUUUCCUUUUGUUGAAGAAUUAAAAGGCAAAUAUAAACUUCAAACAAGAGAACUAGUCUCACUAAAGGAGGAAUCAUAUAUUUUAAGCUUUUGCCACCAAAAAUAGUUUUUGUUCUAAGAAAACAUUGGGAAAAUAUUUAGUUUAGUUAUAGUUACAGAGUACAUGUAGUUCCAAAAACAGGCAAGACCCAGAAUUCCCCAGUUAAAUGACUUUGGGCAGCAGAGAAACCAGAGACCAGCAACAGUUGAUAGAUGUAGAGCUACUUUAAAACUGUUCCAACUACUAUUUAAAGAUCGCAGAGAAAAAGUGUCUAGGCCACACUGUGACAAAAAAGCUGGUCUGAGCCUGCACAUGAGACAGGCCUGUACAUUCAAGCCUCUUACCACCAUUUAAACCAAACUGCCCCUCAAGUAUUCAUUUACCAACUGGCAACAUGUAACAUUUGAAUCAGCGUUAGUUUCUUUGUU